rnacentral:rRNA from 1 species
AGCUCCAAUAGCGUAUAUUAAAAUUGUUGCAGUUAAAAAGCUCGUAGUUGGAUUUCUGGUACGGCGCACUUGGCCCGUCUCGGUUACGAGUAUGUGUGCCGGUGUGCGCCUGCCAUCCAUCUAGAGACGGCUUGCUCACCCUUCACUGGGUCGGGCUUGUUUGGAUCUAGAUCUUUUACUUUGAAAAAAUUAGAGUGUUUAAAGCAGGCUUGUGCGUGAUGAAUACAUUAGCAUGGAAUAAUGAUUUAGGACUUUGGUCUUAUUUUGUUGGUUUCUAGGACUGAAGUAAUGAUUGAUAGGGACAGUUGGGGGUGCUAGUAUUCAGCGGCCAGAGGUGAAAUUCUUGGAUUCGCUGAAGACUAACUUAUGCGAAAGCAUUCACCAAGGAUGUCUUCU